AUAGAACAGAGGUGUUAUACCAC
rnacentral:siRNA from 1 species